rnacentral:rRNA from 1 species
UCCCCGCAGUCCAAGUCGCAACCACAUUUGUUGGGUCUAAAACAUCCGUAGCCAGCUCAGUAAGUCUCCUGUGAAAUCCGGCCUCUCAAGGGUCGAAGAGCGGGAGAUACUGCAGAGCUAGGGACCGGGAGGCGUAACGAGUACGUACAGAGUACCGGUAAAAUGGGUUGAUCCUGUACGGACUAACAACCGCGAAGGCACGUUACGAGCACGGAUCCGACGGUGAGGGAUGAAGGCUAGGGGCGCAAAG